rnacentral:rRNA from 1 species
UCCAUAACAUAUGUUUCUGCAUGGGAGCAUAUUGAAAGAUUGAUUGGUGACGGAUUGGCUCGCGAGACAUUAGGUAGACGGCGGGGUAACGGCCCACCGUGCCGACGAUGUCUAGGGGUUCUGAGAGGAAGGUCCCCCACACUGGAACUGAGACACGGUCCAGACUCCUACGGGAGGCAGCAGUGAGGAAUAUUGGUCAAUGGGCGGAAGCCUGAACCAGCCAUGCCGCGUGCAGGAAUAAGGCCCUAUGGGUCGUAAACUGCUUUUCCUUGGGGGCAAUAAGGGUCACGUGUGUCCCGAUGAGAGUACCAGGGGAAUAAGCAUCGGCUAACUCCGUGCC